UACGUACCGUCCAAACGUUAUUCGGAAUUACUGGGCUUAAAGGGUUUGUAGGCGGCGCUGUCAGUCGGGUGUGAAAUCCCACGGCUCAACCGUGGAAUUGCGCCCGAUACUGCAGUGCUUGAGGGAGACAGAGGUAAGCGGAACUGAUGGUGGAGCGGUGAAAUGCGUUGAUAUCAUCAGGAACACCGGUGGCGAAAGCGGCUUACUGGGUCUCUUCUGACGCUGAGAAACGAAAGCCAGGGGAGCGAAGGGG
rnacentral:rRNA from 1 species